rnacentral:piRNA from 1 species
GGACCAAUAUGAAGGCGAGGCCAGG